AAUAAGAUAUAAUAGUAUGUAUAUUCGUUUUUUAUUAAAAUUAUUAAAACAUUUUAUGAUUUAGUAAGGGUGAUUAAAAUUUAUUAUGUAUGAUACCUUAGAAAAAGUACUGUAAAGGAAAAUCAGUUAAUUUAAUAAAAGAAAAAAUUAAAGUUUGUACCUUUUGCAUCAUGGUUUAACUAGAUAUUCACUUUAUACUUAAGUUUCUCGAAAUCUAAUGAGCUAUUUUUAUUCGUUAUAGUAGUAACUAGAGAGUAAUUGUAGCAAAAAUUUUCUUAGAACUAAAAAUAGAAAUGAAAUUUUAUUCGUAUUAGAUGAUAGCUAGUUUUCCUUUAAAGGCAUAUAAGUGCCUGAAAUUAAUUUAACUCCUAUGAAAAACAAUAGGAUUAGUUUUAAUUCAAUUAAGUUUUAGAGGAUAAUCUCUAAAAUUGUAAUCUAUAUUUUGCAUAAUAAUUUUUUAUUAAAAUUUAAGCUUGAAAAUAGCUAAAAUAUUGAUUUUGUUAUAAUUUCAUUUGUUUGAAAAUAAAAUAAUUUAUUUGCUAAAAGAGAAAGGAAAAAACUUUACAACUAAAAAUAAGUUUAAUUCAUGUUAAUAUUAGUAUUAAGUAUUUUAUAAACUUUUAGUAUAAUAUAACUGUAAAAUUACAUCUUAUAUAAUAAUAUAAAAUCCUUAAAAGGAACUCGGCAAACAUAUAUUCUGCCUGUUUAGCAAAAACAUGGCUCCUUGUUAAAAAAAAAUAAGGAGUCGGACCUGCCCAGUGAAUUUUUUUAACGGCCGCGGUACUCUGACCGUGCAAAGGUAGCAUAAUCAUUUGCCUUAUAAUUGAAGGCUAGUAUGAAUGGUUUGACAAGAAUAUAGCUGUCUCUUUUUGAUUAAAUAGAAUUUUAUUUAUAGGUGAAGAAGCCUAUAUUUAAUUGAAAGACAAGAAGACCCUAUCGAGCUUAAGGUAAAUUAGUAAGUCUAGGCAUGUUAAUAAUACUAAAAAAUUAAUUACUAAAAACUUUAGUUGGGGCGACUAAGGAACAAAUAAAGCUUCCUUUAAAUUAAAUAAAUUACACAAAUAAUUGAUCCAGAAAUUGCUGAUUAAAGAAAUUAGUUACCGUAGGGAUAACAGCAUUAUCUCCUUUGAGAGCUCUUAUCGAAAAGGAGGUUUGUGACCUCGAUGUUGGACCAGAAUAUCCUAAAGGUGCAGCAGUCUUUAAGGGUUGGUCUGUUCGACCAUUAAAAUUCUACGUGAUCUGAGUUCAGACCGGCGUGAGCCAGGUCAGUUUCUAUCUUCAAUUCCUUAGGUAAAUUUAGUACGAAAGGACCAAUUUACCAUAAUAAUAUAUCAAUAAAUGAAGAAAUAUAAUUUAUGUUAUUAGG
rnacentral:rRNA from 1 species